rnacentral:rRNA from 1 species
GACGAACGCUGGCGGCGUGCUCAACACAUGCAAGUCGAGCGAUGAAGUUCCUUCGGGAAUGGAUUAGCGGCGGACGGGUGAGUAACACGUGGGUAACCUGCCUCAUAGAGGGGAAUAGCCUUUCGAAAGGAAGAUUAAUACCGCAUAAGAUUGUAGUAUCGCAUGAUACAGCAAUUAAAGGAGUAAUCCGCUAUGAGAUGGACCCGCGUCGCAUUAGCUAGUUGGUGAGGUAACGGCUCACCAAGGCGACGAUGCGUAGCCGACCUGAGAGGGUGAUCGGCUACAUUGGGACUGAGACACGGCCCAGACUCCUACGGGAGGCAGCAGUGGGGAAUAUUGCACAAUGGGGGAAACCCUGAUGCAGCAACGCCGCGUGAGUGAUGACGGUCUUCGGAUUGUAAAACUCUGUCUUCAGGGACGAUAAUGACGGUACCUGAGGAGGAAGCCACGGCUAACUACGUGCCAGCAGCCGCCGUAA